AGCAGCCGCGGUAAUUCCAGCUCCAAUAGCGUAUAUUAAAGUUGUUGCAGUUAAAAAGCUCGUAGUUGAAUUUCAGGAUUAGUAAGUUGGUCGUGCCUCCGGUAUGUACUGGCUCUACUGGUUCCUCCUUCUUGAAGAACUGUAAUGUCAUUAAUUUGGUGUUGCAGGGAAACAGGACUGUUACUUUGAAAAAAUUAGAGUGUUUAAAGCAGGCUAACGCUUGAAUACAUUAGCAUGGAAUAAUGAAAUAGGACGUUUGAUCCUAUUUUGUUGGUUUCUAGGAUUGACGUAAUGAUUAAUAGGGAUAGUUGGGGGCAUUAGUAUUCAAUUGUCAGAGGUGAAAUUCUUGGAUUUAUUGAAGACUAACUACUGCGAAAGCAUUUGCCAAGGAUGUUUUCAUUAAUCAAGAACGAAAGUUAGGGGAUCGAAGACGAUCAGAUACCGUCGUAGUCUUAACCAUAAACUAUGCCGACUAGGGAUCGGAUGAUGUUAAUUUUUUAAUGACUCAUUCGGCGCCUUA
rnacentral:rRNA from 1 species